GUGCAGCAUGACACCUAAAGUCAGUAAUAAUGUAUUAUUGAAUACUGAAAAUUCACUUAAAAGGUAAAUUUCAGACUUUUUCCUCAUACACACAAAAAUGGUAGCUACACAGGGAUACGAUAUGUUAAUUUGUUUACCUGUAGUAAUAAUUUCGCUAUAUAUAUGUAUAUCAAAUUAUCAUGUUGCAUAUAUUAAAUAUAUACAAUUUUUAUUUAAAAAUACUAAAAGAUAAGAGUUGAAGAUUUUAUGGAUUCAGUUCUCUGGCAACAAUUUAUUCAUUUAAAAUGAUCCUCACUAUAUGAUUUAAAUCAAAUAAAGAAUAACUUUAGAAAAAAGGCUUCAAUGGUUUUAGGAAAACAAAUUGUUUUUAAGUACAUUUGAAGGUCCAUUCAUAUGCAAGCAUUUGAAAUGCUAAUCAUUCUUCUUCCAUCCUUCUACAUCCAUUAUAAGUUAGUUCCCAAUCUGUCAAUAUCAAUUUGGUCAAAUUGGAGGUAGUUACAGAUUUAAUUAAAUAACUUUUUUAUUCUAAAAUUCAGACUUUGUAACGACUCAGGUUUUUAUUCUUCUUUAUUAUUUCUACAUAAAAGAACCUCGCACAGAUGUUCCAUAUAUUAAAUACAUGUUAUUUGUUACUUUGUUUUUAUUAUUAUAAAACUUAAGAAAGUCUUCAAAACACAGAAUUAUGUACUUCAAACAAUGACUGGAUAUUAUCUCCUACAAAUAGCCUUAAAAUCUAUCAAGACAGAUCACAGACUCUUAUGAAUUACUAGCCAUUUUCAGACUCUAGUCAGAAAUGCUGGAAAUAAAGUAGCUCAUAAUAAAAUGUUGUGAUACUCUUAACAAUAGUGAUUGACAUUAAGUAAAUUAUGUACCUCAUAUUUGAAAAUAUAUUUCAGAAAAUGUAGAAUAAGGAAAACUCCUAUAACAAAUCUUGUCACCCCUAUUUAAACCUAAUUUUUUCUCAAAAUAUUAUGAAGAUUCAUCUCAAAAAUACACUAGCUCUAAAAAUAAAAAAUUAAAUAUCUAAACCACAUUUUGAUCAUAGUAAAAACAUUUGUCAUGAAAUCUACCCUUCUAACUAAUUUUCAAGUGUGCAGGCAUAGCAUCCUUAACCAUAUGCGCAGUGCUCUCUAGAGAACUUAAUCAUCUCCCAUAACAAACUUUGUAUCUACUGAUUAUUCCCAUAUAGCGCACGAUUCCAUUUACAUGAGGUAUCUAAAAUAGUCAAACACAUAGAAGCAGAGAGUAGAAUGGUGUUGCCAUAGGUUGGGGAUAAGGGGAAAGGGUGAGUUGCAUUACCUGUUUUUAAAGUACUAGAGUUCCCUUCAUGGCUCAGUGGUUAACAACCCUGACUAGGAUCCGUUUGGACGCAGGUUCGACGAUCCCUGGCCACGCUCAGCAGAUUAAGGAUCUGACUCUGUGGUGAGCUGUGGUAUAGGUUGCAGACGCGGCUCGGAUCCCGCAAUGCUAUGGCUGUUGUGUAGGCCAGUAGCUCUAGCUCCAGUUUGACUCCUAACCUGGGAACUUUCAUAGGCUGUGGUGUGGCUCUAAAAUAAAAUUAAAUAAAAUAACAAAGUACAAAGAAGAAAUUGAUGAGAUAGUAACAAAGUGGUGAUUACUUUCUAGCUGUCAUCAGAAUCAGAGGAGUAGGAAAAGGUAACUGGUUGUGAAGUACCAGGCAUUAUAAGCAUAUUUUAAAAAAUUAAUUUAGUUGAGAAAACAGGAAUCCAGGUUUUGGGUUACAGCAGAAAAAUAUAUUAAAAUAACUUUUAGUUAAAACAAAUACAUCUAAAAUUAUUCCACCUAGUCAGUAGUUAUUAUAAAACAUAUUUAUUUAGCUAAAUUCUACAAAUGGUAUCACCCACCUUAGACACAGAAAGAAAACUGGAUCUGAAAAAGGCAAACUAUUUAAACAGGAUUACAAGCAUCUCAAUGAAUAGAUUUGAAAUGUAUGACAACACAUACUUUGUAAAUUAUGUAUCUAUGCUUUUUCAGUUCAUCAACAGAUUUCAAAUCAACUUGAGUUAACUUCCACUAAAGCAGUCUUUUAAAGAUGAUUGCUAAAGAUAAGCCAAAUCUUUGAUUUUCCCACACGAAAAAUAAAGAGAGAUUCUUUUUCACCGUCAUGCUCUAUUAAGUAGGAUAGGCUAAGUUACGCUUUAGUUACAAAAAAUAAAAUAAAAUAAAAUAAAAUAAAAUAAACCACAGAGAUUUAUCCUGCUCACUGUUUAUACUUCAUGUCCACCAAAACUAGCGAGGGCCCUCAGCAAGUCACCUUCUGUGUGUUCAUGACAUUGCAGUAGUCCCUUUUAUCCAGGGGGUAGGUUCCAAGACCCCUUGUGAAUGCCUGAAACCAAAGACAGUACUGAACCCUACAUAGACUAUGAUAUUUCCUAUACAUACAUACCUAGGAUAAAGCCUAAUUUAUAAAUUAGGCAAGGUAAGAGAUUAACAAUAGCUAAUAUUAAAAUAGAACAAAUAAAAUAAUAUACUGUAAUGAAACUUAGAUAAAUACUUCUCUCUCUCCAAAAAUCUUAUACUGUACUCACACAUCUUCUUGAGAUGGUGUGAGAUGCCUACAUGAUGAGAUGUAGUGAGGCUACUACUCAUCUUCUGAUCAUGCAUCAAAAGGAGGAUCAGGAGUUCCCAUCGUGGCGCAGUGGUUAACGAAUCCGACUAGGAACCAUGAGGUUGAGGGUUCGGUCACUGCCCUUGCUCAGUGG
ensembl:lncRNA